rnacentral:rRNA from 1 species
UCAGAGCAGAACAGAAAAGGGAGCUUGCUCCUUUGACGUUAGCGGCGGACGGGUGAGUAACACGUGGGUAACCUACCUAUAAGACGGGAAUAACUCCGGGAAACCGGGGCUAAUGCCGGAUAACAUUUAGAACCGCAGGGUUCUAAAGUGAAAGAUGGUUUUGCUAUCACUUAUAGAUGGACCCGCGCCGUAUUAGCUAGUUGGUAAGGUAAGGGCUUACCAAGGCAACGAUACGUACCCAACCUGAGAGGGUGAUCGGCCACACUGGAACUGAGACACGGUCCAAACUCCUACGGGAGGCAGCAGUAGGGAAUCUUCCGCAAUGGGCGAAAGCCUGACGGAGCAACGCCGCGUGAGUGAUGAAGGGUUUCGGCUCGUAAAACUCUGUUAUUAGGGAAGAACAAACGUGUAAGUAACUGUGCACGUCUUGACGGUACCUAAUCAAAAAGCCACGGCUAACUACGUGCCAGCAGCCGCGGUAAUACGUAGGUGGCAAGCGUUAUCCGGAAUUAUUGGGCGUAAAGCGCGCGUAGGCGGUUUCUUAAGUCUGAUGUGAAAGCCCACGGCUCAACCGUGGAGGGUCAUUGGAAACUGGGAGACUUGAGUGCAGAAGAGGAAGUGGAAUUCCCUGUGUAGCGGUGAAAUGCGCAGAGAUAUGGAGGAACCAGUGGCGAAGGCGACUUUCUGGUCUGUACUGACGCUGAUGUGCGAAGCGUGGGGAUCAAAAGGAUUAUAUCCCCUGGGAGUCCCCCCGUAAACGAUGAGUGCUACUGUUAGGGGGUUUCUCCCCUUAUUGCUGCAGCAACGCAUUAAUAUUCCGCUGGGGAGUACAACGCAAGGUGGAUUUUUAAGAUUGAAUGGAACCCCCCAGCGGGGCAUUUGGGCUUAAUUCAAACAAACGCAGGACCUUAAAAAUUUUGGAUUCGUUGGCCGUUUAAAGUAAGGUUUACCUUUCGGGUAAAAGGAAAGGGGAAUUGGUUGCUUAUUCCUUCCCAAAA